GCCCGCCUAGCUCAACUGGCAGAGCACUUCACUUGUAAUGAAGAGGUUUUCGGUUCGAGUCCGAAGGCGGGCU
rnacentral:tRNA from 2 species